UCCCAAAAUGCUCUGCGGGGCGGCCGAAUGACGCACUUCCGCUGUCUGGAAGGUUGGGGGAGGCCUUCGCUAUUCUCGCUGACGCCCCCACCCCCAACUUUUUGGGGCUCUUUGCGUGCUUUCGGUGUAUGGGGUUUGGGUUACCUUACCCUCUUUUGCAGGCCUUUGUGUCGAGAAGGGGCCAGGAAAUGGCGAACAAAAGGAGGUUGCUGCGGGGAGUGCAAGCGCCAGACCAUCCUUCCCCAACCUUGAGUGCUUACUACGUGGUGGGCCCAGCCAGGCUUGAGGACCCCCUGUCUUCUCUCCCAGUCUUGGAAACUGUGGGAAGGCAGACUUUGAGGAGGGGCGAUGCGGGUCUCCAGAUUCUAACGCAUAUAAGCUCCUUCCUCUUUCUGGGCUGGGGUCCGUGUUUUGUGCUCAAAAAGUACCUGGAUGACUUGCCAGUCUGCACGCAGAGCGCUUUUCAAUCUGGGGAGUCCGCCUGCCUUCCUCUGCUCCCAACCCACUGCGCUACAGCUGCCCGGAUUUUCUGCUAUCUAAAGUUGUUUGUUUUACAAUUACCUACCAACUCUAUUAUUAUUCUAACACUUUUUCUCCCUUGGAGGGAAAAGAUUACCCAUUUUUGCUUCAUCCUAAGGAAUACUAUUCCAUAAUCACAAGUUUCAUGUACUAGCAAAGUUUUAUUUUUUUGGUGCUAAGGAUGGAAUCCUUGGCCUCAUGCUGAAGCCCUCUAUCACUGGGCUACACCCUCAGUCUUUCAUCUUCCCUACUUCUUUAUUUUUUUCUUAAACAGUAAGUUUACUUCUUGUUCCUCCAAACUUCUGAGGGGAGUCCUUGGGACCCCCAGGCAGCCGUCCUGGUAUGUGAGGCAGCCAUCCACGCUGCUUUUAUCUUGUCUAUCUUUUCAACACAAGACCUUUUGCAUAUAU
rnacentral:lncRNA from 1 species